GUUUGUGUCUGAAACUGAGCCCAGAGCUCAUGUGAAUGGGAUCUGUUCUCUUUUGAGACUAUCUCAGAUAGCAGUGCUCCCAAAGGAGCAACUUGGUGCUACUUGAAACAGCGCUCCCUCCCUCCCAAUGAAGCUUUUUAUCCCAGAUGACUUCAGUCAUGGUCAUGUGAAAUGUUUUCUUCUAACAGGAAGCAGCUCGACCUGAAUACAGGGCUCAGUAUUUGUGAACUUUGACUUUUUGCAAAAGUUUCAAAUAUACACAAAUUUAGAACAUCCAUAUGCUCAAGAAGCUGGCAAAUUCCACCUCAUCUCCAACAACAGGAAGAGAAGGAAAGAUAAAAAAGGCUGGGAAGAGUACAUCUGGUGCUGGGAUCACAAUCUAGUGCAAACCUCAGCCAGCCAGCAAAGCAGUCUCAGGAACUAAGAUAUACCAGUUGUGCGGCAUUAAUCCAGAACUCUUUUACGAACAAUUUUGCUACGCUUAUUGAUGGAACAGAAUACAAAUGAGUGUGAAUAUUGCCUCAUGACUGGAAUGACUAACAACUUCCCUAUUUAAUUAAGCCGUUUGAGAUUUGCAUUUGUGCUCACUGAAGCCAUCUCUCUUCUCUCCUGUGUUAUCAUGGCUGCACCUCAGCUCAGAGGAAAAGCUACUCUGUGCAGGAAGACAAAACAGCAAAUUACAUAUUGCCACCCCCUUCCAGGGAAAGGCUGUGAAGUCUCCAUCCUCAGAAACCCAAAUCAACGAAGGCUUGGGCACUCUGACUGACUGCGCCUGGAUAAGAGGGGUAGGACUAGAUGAUUUCCGGAGUUCCCACUGAGUCUCAACUACUCUGUGAGAAAACGAACAGGUACUAACAAAGAAAGAGUGUAUUGAUCUUCCUAAUACACAUUAGAUCGCAAGUUAAUGACCUAAUACGCUAUUUCCCUGUAUAGGAAAAUAUGAAGUGAGGAACUGUGAGAGGAAAGGGAAAAAGGCUGACAAGACAUUCCAUUUUAGAAAUCGUUUACAGUGGUGAGGACUGUUUCCUUCGAAUGCAUAAUAUCCCUGUCUUCAUUAGUUCAUGCUUCAACCUGACAUAAUUUCUCUGAUUUAUAAAAUUACUUGCACUCUUCUGCAUAUCUAGGGUGUGCACAGUGUACUCUGCCUUGCGUUUCUUUCAUCUGUAAGCAAAAUUACAGC
rnacentral:lncRNA from 1 species